GAUGAACGCUGGCGGCGUGCCUAACACAUGCAAGUCGAGCGGAUGAACGUAGCUUGCUCCUCGCUUCUGCGGCUGACGGGAGUGUAAUGCCUAGGAAUCGUCCUGGGCGUGGGGGAUACCUUAGGGAAAUGGGUGCUAUUCCCGCAUACGACCUGAGAGAGAAAGUGGUGGUUCUUUGGCCUUCUCGGUUUUUGAUGAGCUUAGGUCGUAUUAGCUAGCUGGUGGGGUAAUGGCUUACCAAGGCGAUGAUCCGUAACUGGUCUGAGAGGCUGACCAGUGACACUGGAACUGAGACACGGUCCAGACUCCUACGGGAGGCACAAGUGGGGAAUAUUGGCCGAAGGGCGAAAGCCUGAUCCAGCCACGCCGCGUGGAUGAAGAAGGUCUUCGGGCCGUAUAACUCUGUUAGUCUUGAGGAAGGACAGUACGUUUAUAGAUGCAUGUUGUGACGGUACCAACAGAAUAAGCACCGGCUAACUACGUG
rnacentral:rRNA from 1 species